rnacentral:snoRNA from 1 species
GUGUUCUCUCCUGAGCAUGAAGUCAACUCUCUGAGUUGCUUCUGCAACUGUCUUCUGCCAUUGAUGGUCGUUCUUCUCUUCCUUUGGUAGAGGAGAGGGAGAGGACAUAGU